UACAUGGGGUGCAAACGUUGCUCGGAAUCAUUGGGCGUAAAGCGCGCGUAGGCGGUUGCUUAAGUCGGAUGUGAAAGCCCUCGGCUUAACUGAGGAAGUGCAUCCGAAACUGAGCAGCUAGAGUACGAAAGAGGGUCGCGGAAUUCCCGGUGUAGAGGUGAAAUUCGUAGAUAUCGGGAGGAACACCGGUGGCGAAGGCGGCGACCUGGGUCGAGACUGACGCUGAGGCGCGAAAGCGUGGGGGAGCGAACAGG
rnacentral:rRNA from 1 species